UGAUAUGGAUAUGCCCAAGGUUCCCCGUACCGGUCCCGAACCCCGUACCGGUGCCGCACUAGUAUAGGCGUACCGAGUGUCGGUAUGGUACGGUACGCUCGGUACCGACCGUACCGAUAUUGGUAUACCGAUACCGGUAUCCAUCGGUACGGGUACGGUACGCUCGGUACUGACCGGUACAGCGAACUCAUAUGCCUGUAGGUGUUUAACAAAUGAAUGCAAUAUAUUUUGUUUAAUAUAUUUAUUGGUUGUAAAAAUUCUGAAUAAUUUUCGGNNNNNNNNNNNNNNNNNAGAAAUGAAAGCAUAUAAAUCUAGAAUUAAUCAUGUAUGUGAGAAGUCAAUUUCAAUAAGUCUUGAAGUCAUCCAAUGAGAGCAGCUCUGUGAAGCUCUGCAAAAUGGACUCCAGCAAUGCAUCCAGCCAACUUCUCGUCUAGAUCAUUGGAUUCUUCGAUAGCAAUCAAACCAGCAACCUUGCUGUCAGAAAUUGUAAUUGGCUAGGAACCUCAAUGGCAAUACCACCCAGUAACACUGUCAAUACUGCAAUUCACCUGAAGUAAAAGCGUCUAGGGAAAUCAACAUGGCCAACCUUCACUCACGGUGUCUGUUCAAACAGAUAAGAUACAUUAGAAAGACAAACUAGAAAGGUAGUACAAGAAAUAAUCAUGAAUUUAUAUAAUUAAAUAGUUAACACCACCAUGAUUAUUUACAUGGAAUCAGAAAGAACCAAAUAUGCUUCUUAAAUAGCAAAGAUGGCCUGCAUGAGCUUCCAACUUCCUUAGAUGAAGUGCAUAGAAAACAAACUAGUCCUGCAAACCAGGGAUUACAAUCCUCAGGUAUAGACUUCAACAAUUAAAACUCUCUCUCUCUCUCNNNNNNNNNNNNNNNNNNNNUAGUAGUAGUACUACAACUAAACUAACUACUCUCUCUCUCUCUCUCUCUCUCUCUCUCUCUCUCUCUCUUACAUUUCAUAUGUUUAAUUUAUUUCCCGUGAAACCUAGAUUUCCAAAAGGUAUUUCUACAUAUUGCUGGAAAUUUGGAACGAAUAAAGCUAUAUGACAUAACAGUAACAAAUUCCCUCAUAAGUAACGAACCAGAUAGGUUCAAACAUUGUCCAGUUAAUACCAUUUCUAAUGGUCAAAUUAGCUUUCAACCUAACUGAAACAACUGAUAUCAUUUAAAUUCAAAAAAAUGAAAUGAAUGGACUCCUGAGUUUCAUGCAAUUUGCAAUGUAAAUUGUCAGUUCAUAUAUAGAAAGUGCAUCAAACCCUUACAAAAAAAAGAAAAAAGAAUAAUAUCCAUGCACCCACUCCUAAAAUUUUCUACUAAAAAUACAGAGAAGCUAAUAUGCGCCAAUCAUUGUGAACCAUUAAUACUAUGCAAACCCCUAAAAAUCAUAUUUCAAAUUGUACUUCCAAACUGCAAAAUGGUAACUAAUUUUUCAGCAAACAGUUUGGUUUGAGAUUAAUUUGUAAUUUUAAGCACCCUACUUAUCCUUGCCAUCCCGCUAUUAAUUUUUGUGCAGACAAUUCCACUUCUUCCUCUUACCACUUCUUCUUUUCAAUUCUCACAAGACAGUGAAAUGUUAAGUCUACCCAAACUAUGAAGUAACAUUUAGCCCAAGGCAGAUGACACAACCAGCCACUCGCACAUUUCAUCUACCAAACAUUUUAUCUUAUAUCCCCAUCUUUCUUUUUUCUGCAACUAAAAUAAUCAAGCCCAGCUCUAGUUUCAAGCCCGUGUCCUUGGAAAAGUUCAAUAUGAAAUUAUCAAUAAGGCGUGUAAAAAACAACAAUCAAUAAAGAGGAGGAGGAAAAAAAGCACCGCGAUAAAAAGCGUUGAUAAUGUGUAACGCUGGAAUGCCCUCUAAAUUCUUCGAAACAAAAGCAUUUUUGAACCACUUCGAAUCCCCAAAGCAGAAGAAAGAGAUAAUUCUUUAGAGAGAAAAAAGUAAAAAAAGUAAGUUCAGAAGUUUUAAAUUUCAAAACCAUCAACUUUUUUUGACAUUUGAAAGUUAAGAUGUUUUAGUAGGUGUUUGGUUGUUAAAAACGAUCGAGUUCGAAAUUAAAUGAAAGCCCAAGAUAACAAAGGCGAAAAAUCAUGGAACUUGGAAAAUCCUACUCAAACCUUUAACAAAAAAAAAAUAAUCAAAUUCCAUGAUUGAAGGUAUUUUGUUAAGUUUUAUUGCAUUUCAAACGUAUCCAAAAGCAAAAUAACUGCUGGAGAAGGGCAAGAAAACAAAAAACGAGAUUAACUGUAGAAACCCAAUCUAAUCAAAGCGGAAAUCUUGCUACCGUUAUCAAAUCAAAAGCUAAAGCCCCCCAAAAGUAAGCAAAAUCAUCGAUUAAAAGAAAAAUAAAGAAAAAGCACAAAUAGCAUUAAAUGCUUCAAGAAAUUAUCUCCAAAAAACUUUAAUAGACUAAUAGAGAUCUAAAUGCAGCAAACCCCCUCAUCUAACCUUCCCCAAGAGACAAAUCUACACAGAGGGAGAGAGCGAGAGAGAGGAAGAGAGAGUUCUACUACGCAACAGCUUAGCAUCGACCAUAUCUCAAAAAGGAAUCCAACUACAAACAACCCCAUUAGAGAUCCAAAUCCACCGAUCUAACUAACUUACCUGCAGACCAACAGAGAGAGAGAGCCGUACCUCGGCAUUUCCCCGAAACAGAGCGCCAGAGAUAGAGAGAAAUCCCCGAUCCGUUCUUCGAUUCGGCUCGGCAAAUAGCACGGAGAAAGCGAAGGAGAGGGAGAGAAGGAGAGCUUGGACUCUACGCCAAAGACCCGACCGCCUCUCAAUUCUAGUCCGGAGAAAAAAAGAGUUCGAGACUCCCAACGACAAACCAAACGGUUGCUUGCCCUGCUAAUUAUUUUAUCUACCAUCUCUUCUUUUGAAUUAACCAUCUUAAUAAUAAUAAUAAUAAUAAUUUAACCUCGUUUAAACCAAACCAAACGAUGACUAACGAUAGGAACAAAAGCUAAAGGCCAUCAUAACUUUGGUCUGGUCCUCCUUGAAGCUUUUGUGGUGAUGGUGUUUGCUACAGAGACCAGAAAGAAAGAAAGGAGGUAAAAAUUAUGGGGAGCGAUGGUAUCUUUUUCCACCUCCCUCUCUCGACCGGCAGCCAUUAAAAUUUCGGAGCAAGUAAAUAAUAUAAUUAAAAUAAGAGAGAAGAAGAGUCAGGAGCGCGAGAAAGGGAGCAGAAAAAUAAGAACAAGUCGAGAAAG
rnacentral:lncRNA from 1 species